rnacentral:rRNA from 1 species
AUGAACGCUAGCUACAGGCUUAACACAUGCAAGUCGAGGGGCAGCAUGGUCUUAGCUUGCUAAGACUGAUGGCGACCGGCGCACGGGUGAGUAACACGUAUCCAACCUGCCGUCUACUCUUGGACAGCCUUCUGAAAGGAAGAUUAAUACAAGAUGGCAUCAUGAGUCCGCAUGUUCACAUGAUUAAAGGUAUUCCGGUAGACGAUGGGGAUGCGUUCCAUUAGAUAGUAGGCGGGGUAACGGCCCACCUAGUCUUCGAUGGAUAGGGGUUCUGAGAGGAAGGUCCCCCACAUUGGAACUGAGACACGGUCCAAACUCCUACGGGAGGCAGCAGUGAGGAAUAUUGGUCAAUGGGCGAGAGCCUGAACCAGCCAAGUAGCGUGAAGGAUGACUGCCCUAUGGGUUGUAAACUUCUUUUAUAAAGGAAUAAAGUCGGGUAUGCAUACCCGUUUGCAUGUACUUUAUGAAUAAGGAUCGGCUAACUCCGUGCCAGCAGCCGCGGUAAUACGGAGGAUCCGAGCGUUAUCCGGAUUUAUUGGGUUUAAAGGGAGCGUAGAUGGAUGUUUAAGUCAGUUGUGAAAGUUUGCGGCUCAACCGUAAAAUUGCAGUUGAUACUGGAUAUCUUGAGUGCAGUUGAGGCAGGCGGAAUUCGUGGUGUAGCGGUGAAAUGCUUAGAUAUCACGAAGAACUCCGAUUGCGAAGGCAGCCUGCUAAGCUGCAACUGACAUUGAGGCUCGAAAGUGUGGGUAUCAAACAGGAUUAGAUACCCUGGUAGUCCACACGGUAAACGAUGAAUACUCGCUGUUUGCGAUAUACAGCAAGCGGCCAAGCGAAAGCGUUAAGUAUUCCACCUGGGGAGUACGCCGGCAACGGUGAAACUCAAAGGAAUUGACGGGGGCCCGCACAAGCGGAGGAACAUGUGGUUUAAUUCGAUGAUACGCGAGGAACCUUACCCGGGCUUAAAUUGCAGAUGAAUUACGGUGAAAGCCGUAAGCCGCAAGGCAUCUGUGAAGGUGCUGCAUGGUUGUCGUCAGCUCGUGCCGUGAGGUGUCGGCUUAAGUGCCAUAACGAGCGCAACCCUUGUUGUCAGUUACUAACAGGUCAUGCUGAGGACUCUGACAAGACUGCCAUCGUAAGAUGUGAGGAAGGUGGGGAUGACGUCAAAUCAGCACGGCCCUUACGUCCGGGGCUACACACGUGUUACAAUGGGGGGGUACAGAGGGCCGCUACCACGCGAGUGGAUGCCAAUCCCCAAAACCUCUCUCAGUUCGGACUGGAGUCUGCAACCCGACUCCACGAAGCUGGAUUCGCUAGUAAUCGCGCAUCAGCCACGGCGCGGUGAAUACGUUCCCGGGCCUUGUACACACCGCCCGUCAAGCCAUGGGAGCCGGGGGUACCUGAAGUGCGUAACCGCGAGGAGCGCCCUAGGGUAAAACUGGUGACUGGGGCU